UUAAUUUACAUUUGUAUGGAGUUGGAACUUUUGCCUACGUUUGCCGCUAGGGGCGCUGUUCCAACUGCAUACAAAUUUGAGUUA
rfam:Bombyx mori DNA, contig: Bm_scaf71_contig31032, strain: p50T/Dazao, build 2, whole genome shotgun sequence.